UUGUCCCAGCCCGUCGUGGAUAUAUAUAAAGUAUUACAGCGCGCGAAGAUGGGCGCCAGUGAAUGUGGGCCUGUUGUUUCAAUCAGAAUGGGAUAGAGAGGGGCAACAGCUCGACGCAUGGCAGGAAGCUGAGCCCCAUAUAUUAUCUUAAGGUUGACUGCAGCAGCAUCGAGGAAGCUGCAUUGAAUCGCGGCAAAUCUCCAGGAUCUUCGGCGCGCAUCCUCGACAUGCAGCAAGUUGUGCACAGAAAGCUGCAGGUGUCAUUUUUGGGGGGGUUGCGAAGUUGCUAUUGGUACUACAAGUGACACAGCUCACGAUUGGCAAAAGAGCGCGCGGAUGCGGGCCGGCAAAAGGUGUGCGCUCAUCUGCUUGAGGCUAUUAAACCAGAGAGAGUACCACGCAGGAAAGGGAUCUGUGUCAAAUGCAAGUUGUCCCGGAGGAAAACUCCCAGCAUAUUCGUGACUACGGAUUCCGAAAGAGUGCAGGCGACAAGACAAUAGUUUUGUCUAGGAAGGUGCAGGAAAGUUGAUCGAUUCUCUCCCUUUCCAACUUGGAGCUAGCGUCCACACUGCGGAUGAUGCCCAGCAGAGCUCAUCGAAAAAGUUGCCCUGCACGCACAAUAUCGGAUUAAUAACUCUCGACAUGACAUGACUAAGAUGCUUCCAAAACCUAGCCGACCUUGCCUUUGUGCUCUUGAAAUGCAUUGUUACUACGUUAACGUGUGUGUGCUGCACUGGUUCAUUCUGCAAGUCCCUGCAAUGGAAGGCUGGCGUCGGUGUGCCAAACAAGGCACAUAAAUGGUCAGUUUCGUUAUCCAUCAAGCGCAUCUCAC
rnacentral:lncRNA from 1 species